ensembl:lncRNA
GGGGGGGGGGCUCAUCAGUGUCUGCUGCUGCUGUCUGUAGCUCCACAAAUGGUCUUUAAAAACCUGAGCAACUCUUCCUCUCCUACUUUAUUUCCUUCCCAACCAUGAGUUCAGUGUGACAGUGGGAAGCAGUGAGCACGUGGUCAUACCCAGGAGAUGCACAGGGUGAGGUCCCACCAGGACACCCCUCACCACGGGGAUGCAGCAGUUGAUUCUGGGGUCCCGUGGCAGCUCCACAUCCACAGUGACCAAAGGGCCCACAGGAACAGUGGCCCUGGAGGUAGCUGGUGACUGAAGACUGCUGGAUUGCUCCAUACCUGGAUGAGAUGUGUGAGGUCGCCGGGGAUGCUGGUGGCUGUGGGUCUCCUGAUGACCACAGCCAAGGCAGGCCAGGUUGGAUGGGGCCUUGGCAACCUGAGCUGGAUUUCAGCCUCCAGAUUUCAGCCCCCCAAAUGUGCCAAGCGUGAGCCUUCAGCGAGAGCUUCAUCCACGCAACCCAUGCUGGACUAACUCAUCCCAGUCCAACCGUUCCCUGCAGCAGGAGUUUUGCGUUCAUGGAAGCACCUGGUGUAUUAGAAGUUGGUUUUGGAAUGCACUCACAGUGCCAACAGCCACAGUGACCGUCCUGCUGCCGGGCUGAGCAGUGGGGGGCUCUGCACUGGGGGAUGGAGCCUGAGCUGUGGCCUUGGGACCUGGCUGAGUUUCCCUGCUUCCAGCUGGGGGAUGGGGACAUCAGGAACAGGACGCAUCUAGGAACAGGAGCAGGUGCUGCCUUGCUUACCAUGGGGCUUUAAAGGCCAGGCUCACCCCAGCAAGGCAGUGGGUCCUCAGUUAGCUGCCCAGCUCCUUGUAAGGUCAUAUUUGUCAUCUCAAAAUACAGUUUGCUGUAGAACAGAGAAUAUUUAGAAGGGAUUUGAUAAGUAACAUCUGCUGCUGUACUGAAAUUUCAGUUCGAAGUGCUAAAAACUUUAAAAAGAAAGAGGUUUGGGUAAAAAUAAAAGGUCUCUGGAGAGGUCUCCUUGGCAGGAUCCUCCUCUCCUCCUUACACACAGCAGAUUUGUUCAUGUUUGUCAUUAUCCAUCAAACCAGAGCGCAGCAAAGGGCAGCUUUCAAGAGAUGAACCUGGAGGAGAUAAUAUUUCGCACCGCAUAAAAUGCACCUCGGGAAUUUUCGGUUCUUCUUCCCUGUUACAUUACAAGGGCCUUCAUAAAAAGUGUCACAGCUCACGAGCUAAAAAAGAAAAAGAAGAAAAGAGAAAAAAAAAAAAAAAAAAGCAGCAGCUUGUGGCUUUGGAUGCAUUCAGUGCGCGUUUGUGGUCGGCGUUUCCCAGGCUGCUCGGGGGUGAGCGCCAGGUCGGCCCUCGCACGGCGCUCUGCAGGCGCUGUUUCUGUAUGAGUGAUAGCAGGCACUGAACGGCAGCACUGCGGCUGAAGGCUCCAUCCUGCCCAGGGGGUUGGGAUGGGGAUGCAGCUCCCAGCCGCCCCGCUGCUGCUGCUGUGUUCAAUGAGGUGGGAGUGGGCGCUAACCCGGGGUUUGAGGGAUAUAAGUAGG